AACAGGAUUAGAUACCCUGGUAGUCCACGCUGUAAACGAUGUCGAUUUGGAGGUUGUGCCCUUGAGGCGUGGCUUCCGGAGCUAACGCGUUAAAUCGACCGCCUGGGGAGUACGGCCGCAAGGUUAAAACUCAAAUGAAUUGACGGGGGCCCGCACAAGCGGUGGAGCAUGUGGUUUAAUUCGAUGCAACGCGAAGAACCUUACCUACUCUUGACAUCCAGAGAACUUUCCAGAGAUGGAUUGGUGCCUUCGGGAACUCUGAGACAGGUGCUGCAUGGCUGUCGUCAGCUCGUGUUGUGAAAUGUUGGGUUAAGUCCCGCAACGAGCGCAACCCUUAUCCUUCGUUGCCAGCGGUUCGGCCGGGAACUCGAAGGAGACUGCCAGUGAUAAACUGGAGGAAGGUGGGGAUGACGUCAAGUCAUCAUGGCCCUUACGAGUAGGGCUACACACGUGCUACAAUGGCGUAUACAAAGAGAAGCGACCUCGCGAGAGCAAGCGGACCUCAUAAAGUACGUCGUAGUCCGGAUUGGAGUCUGCAACUCGACUCCAUGAAGUCGGAAUCGCUAGUAAUCGUAGAUCAGAAUGCUACGGUGAAUACGUUCCCGGGCCUUGUACACACCGCCCGUCACACCAUGGGAGUGGGUUGCAAAAGAAGUAGGUAGCUUAACCUUCGGGAGGGCGCUUACCACUUUGUGAUUCAUGACUGGGGUGAAGUCGUAACAAGGUAACC
rnacentral:rRNA from 1 species